rnacentral:rRNA from 1 species
GACGAACGCUGGCGGCGUGCUUAACACAUGCAAGUCGAGCGGUAAGGCCCUUUCGGGGGUACACGAGCGGCGAACGGGUGAGUAACACGUGGGUGACCUGCCUUUAGCUCUGGGAUAAGCCUGGGAAACUGGGUCUAAUACCGGAUAUGACUCCGCGGUGCAUGCUGUGGGGUGGAAAGCCUUGUGCGGCUGGAGAUGGGCCCGCGGCCUAUCAGCUUGUUGGUGGGGUNANGGCCUACCAAGGCGACGACGGGUAGCCGGCCUGAGAGGGCGACCGGCCACACUGGGACUGAGACACGGCCCAGACUCC